CCAAUAGCGUAUAUUAAAGUUGUUGCAGUUAAAAAGCUCGUAGUUGAAUUUCGGGAUCAAAUUGUCGGUCGUGCCUCGGUACGAACUGGUAUUAUUGGUUCCUCCCUUCUGAAGAACCGCGAUGUCAUUAAUUUGGUGUCGUGGGGAAUCAGGACUGUUACUUUGAAAAAAUUAGAGUGUUUAAAGCAGGCUUACGCUUGAAUACAUUAGCAUGGAAUAAUGAAAUAGGACGUUUGAUUCUAUUUUGUUGGUUUCUAGGAUCGACGUAAUGAUUAAUAGGGAUAGUUGGGGGCAUUAGUAUUCAAUUGUCAGAGGUGAAAUUCUUGGAUUUAUUGAAGACUAACUACUGCGAAAGCAUUUGCCAAGGAUGUUUUCAUUAAUCAAGAACGAAAGUUAGGGGAUCGAAGACGAUCAGAUACCGUCGUAGUCUUAACCAUAAACUAUGCCGACUAGGGAUCGGAUGAUGUUAAUUUUUUAAUGACUCAUUCGGCGCCUUACG
rnacentral:rRNA from 1 species